rnacentral:rRNA from 1 species
GAGGAAUAUUGGUCAAUGGGCGAGAGCCUGAACCAGCCAAGUCGCGUGAAGGAAGAAGGUUCUAUGGAUUGUAAACUUCUUUUGUAAGGGAAUAAAAAGAGUUACGUGUAACUUAUUGUAUGUACUUUACGAAUAAGGAUCGGCUAACUCCGUGCCAGCAGCCGCGGUAAUACGGAGGAUCCAAGCGUUAUCCGGAUUUAUUGGGUUUAAAGGGUGCGUAGGCGGUUUAAUAAGUCAGUGGUGAAAGUUUGCAGCUCAACUGUAAAAUUGCCAUUGAAACUGUUAAACUUGAGUGCAAAUGAGGUAGGCGGAAUGUGUUGUGUAGCGGUGAAAUGCUUAGAUAUAACACAGAACACCAAUUGCGAAGGCAGCUUACUGGGAUGCAACUGACGCUGAGGCACGAAAGCGUGGGGAUCAAAC